AGACCAUCAGGAAGAUAAAAAAGGAAAUUUUAGAAUAUGAGAUUGCUCACUAAUACUAAGAGCGAGAGAAUAUGAAAUCUUCUAGCGAUGCCUCGCAGGAAUGACUGUCUCCAACCCUCACCAACGACCACAGGAGUGACUGUUUCCAGUUACCUGUGACGCUACCAUUUUGGAACCCACCAUUGUUGUGUUCCAAAUAAUGUAUUACAUAUCUGGUGCCCC
rnacentral:lncRNA from 1 species